rnacentral:tRNA from 1 species
GCCGGGAUAGCUCAGUUUGUAAAGCAGAGGACUGAAAAUCCUCGUGUCACCGGUUCAAGUCCGGUUCCUGGCAUCA